rnacentral:rRNA from 1 species
UAGAGUUUGAUCAUGGCUCAGAUUGAACGCUGGCGGCAGGCCUAACACAUGCAAGUCGGGCGGCAGCACAGGUACUUGUACCGGGUGGCGAGCGGCGGACGGGUGAGUAAUGCCUAGGAAUCUGCCUGGUAGUGGGGGAUAACGCUCGGAAACGGACGCUAAUACCGCAUACGUCCUACGGGAGAAAGCAGGGGACCUUCGGGCCUUGCGCUAUCAGAUGAGCCUAGGUCGGAUUAGCUAGUUGGUGAGGUAAAGGCUCACCAAGGCGACGAUCCGUAACUGGUCUGAGAGGAUGAUCAGUCACACUGGAACUGAGACACGGUCCAGACUCCUACGGGAGGCAGCAGUGGGGAAUAUUGGACAAUGGGCGCAAGCCUGAUCCAGCCAUGCCGCGUGUGUGAAGAAGGUCUUCGGAUUGUAAAGCACUUUAAGUUGGGAGGAAGGGUCGUUACCUAAUACGUGACGAUUUGACGUACCGACAGA